GUUAGUCCGGGAAUGGCACCAGCCCCAAGGGACCAGAUUUAAGAGACAAGCUAGCUUUAUCCUCUGGACUUUUUGGCUUACUUGAAUCAAUAAUUCCCUUUGGCUGAGAGCCAGCGUGUUCUGGGUUGUUCUGAGGCUUGGAAACAAAAGGCUUCUAACGGAUACAAAUCUCCAAAACCGGCAUUGAAAAGGACUGCUACGAGAGCUGCCUCCAGCUGCGGUGAUCCCCUCCACAUAUCAGCUGGCUCCUUCUAAAAUGUGGAUCUCAUGACGUUGCGUCUCCAACUCAAACCCCCAAGCGCCCUUCACGGUCCAGAAAGCCAAGUUGUAGCUCCUCAGCAUGGCAGCAAAGUGCUGCAGGACAUGGAGGCCUUGCUACCUCCCAGCCUCAGCUCCACCCUUCCCCCAAAGCGUGGCCUGCUUGCAUGCCCUGCAUACGUGCUCCAUUUCUUCCCAGGGCAUGGGGCAUACUGCUCUCAUUGCCUGGACUGUCUUUCAUUCUUCCUCUAACCUCUGACUCUCCUCUGCAAGAGGAAGCAUGCAUUGCCUCUUCCAGGAAGGUUCCUGGGUGACACCUUCCUGCCCUUUGCCUUUGACCUUCUCUCCAGCCCCUGCCUCCUCAGGCUGCUAGGGUGUUCCUGUGUGUUCUUCCACACACCCCAAAGGAUGUGUCUUCUGGACACUUGAACCUUGCAGCUAUCCUCUGUCCUUUUUGCCUUGGCUGCUGGGAUGCUCAAGGGACCAUUUUAGGCCUUAUGGUAUGCAUGAUGCCCUCCAAUCCCACCUUCCUCUGCCUGCGUCUCAUUUCCUCAACCCCAGUUGCUUUUUCCCACACGUCCUCAUCUCUUCCUUUCAUCCUUAUGUAUAGCAUGCAUGCAUUGCUGGAAACCAUCCCCAAAUCCUUUUAUGAGGGGUGAGACAACGCAUGAAAGUAAAUAAAAAUGAUAAAAAUCCACCAACUUCUAUGAAUUCAAUUAUGUAACUAACAGGAGCAAUAUAUUUUUCCUCAGAGGCAAUGAGAUGGUAUGUUUUCUCUAUGCAGAAUGCAAAAUGUUGCUGGCAUUUAAGG
rnacentral:lncRNA from 10 species